CAAAGGGGCCCGGAGGGGAAGAUCCGAGCCGCGGAAAACGCCUCCGUGCCGCCGGUGUCAAACCCCCACCCGCCAGCCCGGCAGAGCCGGGGCGAGCUGCCCCGGGGCCAGGAAAAGCCAAGCACCGCUUUGCACAACAGCCGAACGCGAAGCGGCUCCCGAGGGCAGGAAACUGCACCAGCGGCCGCCCGGCGCUGCCAAGCGCGGCCCCCGGGCACUGCAGCUCGGGGACGUGUGCCCGCGGGUCCGCGACCCUCCCCCGCGGGACCUCCGAGCCUCCCCCGAGGUCCCCGCCGGCCGCACCUGCCGCCGCUCCCCGCCCGGCCUCCGCUUUAUAGCGCGCAGGUGCCGCAUUCGCGGCCCUCGAGCAGCGGGCCCGGCGCCGCCGGCUGGGCGAGAAGCACCGACCGGCGCUUGGGCUGCCGAGCCGCGGGAAGCCGGUGAGGUGGGUAAGGUGGAAGGCAGGGGAGGAAGGCGGCCGCGGUACGGGCCGACCCGGGGAAGGCUCCGCCGGGAGCCGCAGCCGCCCGCGGCUCCGCACAUGGGCUGCGGCGCGCCCCACCGGGGCCUGCCCGCCCGCCACCGCGCCUGGCGCCCUACCUGCCGCGGGCCGCCACCGCUGGGCCGCCGCCGCCGCCCGCUCGCCCCGGGGCCCGCCCGCCGUUUCACCGGGGUUCUAAUGAAGAAAAAGUCUUUUUUCCUCACCUCCGGCCACCGCUUCAAGAUGGCGACGAUGGAGACCGUAUCACGUGAUCCGCGGGCUCGGGUCAGGUGACUGGCGGGUGGACGCUGCCACCGCGCCGCCGACUUCUCGCCGUUGCCACGGAGACGAGCACGGGCCCCGCCAUGGCCGCCGCGUCCCGCCUCUGUACCACAGGGCUGCGCACACCGGGCGGUGGGGCUGUCCCGCCGGCCCCGCCGCCACCGGUCCCGCGCCUCGCCCCAGAAGGCGGGAAGGAGCCGAGUGGCGGUGCGGUUGUGCCCGCUCCACGCACCGCUGCCUCUUCUGAGGCGAUGCUGGUGUCGCUGUCUCCAUCCAUCCGUGCACGAACUUAAAUGUCCGCUCAGCAGAGACAGAACAGCGCGCAGCCACUCGUGCCGGCCCAGCGCGUUAUUCAAAAUAACGGGUGUUACCUCGCAGGUCCUGCGGUUCCUGACCCCCCGGCUCCUGCUCUUGUCAGUCAGAACUUUGUCAGUGCUCCAGUAUCCAGCACAAUGCGCUUCAAGAAAUAGUGUAGUAUCCCCCACGUUUUGUGUCUAAAAUGGCAAAUCAAUGCAAGUGUUUCCAUGGGUAAAUUGCAGAGAACUGACCAAAAGUUUUAGCAAUUUAAGUUAGAAGGAAUCUGGAGUUGAAAGUGCACGCUGCAUGUCAGUGUCGACCUCAGAAGCUGCGCACCAGAAAUGUGCUGUGAAUUUAUAAGAUGUUUAAUAGAAACUGAGAAGUCAGGGGAAUAAUGAGUUUCAGAAGUGGCUUAUGGCUCAGUGAUGGCAACUAAAAUCUAAUGUUCAUUUCCAGAAAGGAGCUUGAAGUAUGUUGAGGUGGAUGGGUCUGCAGCUGGAUUUGGGGGGACCCAGUAAAAAUUUAGCGACUUUUUGCAAGUUCACUUCUUCCCUCAGGUGGGAGUUUUGCUAAUGAUUGUAUAUUGUUUUGUAGGAAUAGAAGACACAUUUUAAAUAGUGGCAAAUCAGGUAUUCAAGAGAUGAAUUUAUCCAUCCUUUCAAUAGACAUUAUUUCAUCUCCAAUUUUACUUUGUGACUUAGGUUCCUUGCCUUAAGAAGCUCAGUUUAAUUGUAUGAACUGCUACAAAAGCUUUAUAAUUUUCACAUUUUUAUAAUGCAUUAUAGUGUAUUAUACAAAUGGGGUCCCUGAAUCCCCUGCUUUGUAGCUGUAUGUACAGCAGAGGUGAAUCGUGCAUGGAGCACUGUUUGGAAUGGAAGCCUUGGCUUGUACCCUUUGCGGUGAACAGUGAGCAAGAGUACUGUGUGAGCACUUUGGCACCUGAGGGAGUAAGCUUUUUUCUUUUAUAUUUCACCUAGGUUUUAGGUCUUGUCAGCCUGGAGGCGGCCUUUAUCUAUCAUGAGGUAGAUCCACCAUAGAAGAGUGAAAUUUGGAGUAGCAUUGCAACACUGUUGGCAACUAAGAGUUUUUCUGUCAUUUAUUGACUGCAGCACAUGAGCCUGGACUGGUUUUUGUCAUUCUUUUCGGAUGACAGAAUCUGUUUCAUACUGUAUCUGCUGUUCUGAUUCUGGAAAAAAAAUAAAAGUGCAGAGUGCAAAAAUAUAGUUGAUUGUCACAUGAAAAAUUAAGUUUUGGGAGUUUCUCAGAAAGUGGUGGUAGAGUUUGCAUAUAUUUAUAUAGGUGCAUAUGUAUUGGCUACUUUGAUUUAUCAGGCUGGCAUCUUGGGAGUCCUUGCUAUGAAAUGGAGCUUCACACAGGGGACAAUUUGAUUCUCAAAAUGCUGAAGUUUGCAAAGCUCUUACAGAGAGUACGAGAAGAGUGGUAAGAACACUGUACUGGAAAAAAUGAUACUGCGUUAUUCAUGUAUGAAAAAGUACUAUAUUAUAUUGUGAGAGGAAAUACCACAGACAGAUUAAGAAUGAUUAGGAAUACUGAAAAAUUAUACGGGGAUGAAUGAACAUUGCAUUGCUUCAUUUAGACAAUACAAUAGAACAUUAUAGACAUAUGAGGAUAAUAAAUAGUAUAAAAAAAAAUAAAUUACACUUUAAUAUGCUUCUCCUACCAUUAGACUAACUAGAUAUUCAGUGAAGUUGAAUGGUUGGAUUUUCAAAACAGGUAAGGCAAGUUUUAGAAUUUUUAAAAUAUAAAUGUAAUUAACCUCUGAAACUUGUUGCCACAAGAUGUUGUAGAAAACAAAAACUUUUUAAGAGUUAAAAAAAUAAUUAAAUUUCUGUAUCUAUAGAGACAACAUGUACAACUCUUCCAGAUAGAAUUAGAAAUGUAUUAACAGUAUGAAAUGUCAAUGUUUUUUGUAUUGAGGGAAACAUUGAUAGGAGUCUCAAAGAAUCUUUCCCUGUGAAAGGAGUAUAUGGUAUUUUAAGCUCUGAUGUUUCGAUUGCAAUGUCCUUUGGGGUGAUUGUGCUCACCUUCUGUGAGAACCCAAACUAUACAAACCUUUUGUAUGGUUAGAGUGAGUUAUCUUUUUCGCUAUGGCCUCAGAUGUCUUUGUGCUUUGGCACUGAGGCAGCAAAACUGUGCAGAGUUUAUAUGACUUAGAUGGUUUAUUUUGCAUUACACAGCCUUUUCUACUACAGAAUUAGGAAAGUUCUGUAUUAAGUCAUAUUCCAGCUGCAACAAUGACAUCUAGGGGUUGAUUUAUAUUAAUUUAAUUUAGAUAUGUAUUUCCUAUUUUUGAGAAGAUGGUUACUAAUAUGUUUACUAAAUCUAAAUCUAAAUUAUUAGUAUUUGCUGAAAAGCUGUAAAUCUGAUAUAUGUUGUAUAUUCAGAAAAUAGCCAUGGCAUUUUUAACUUCCUAUUUUUUGUGUUUUGUUUCUUGAUCUGUCUUUUAAUUAUUUUAGUACUGCUAACACUGCAAAACAGUGAAUCUCUUGUUCCCUUAGACCUUGUAUUUUUUCAUGACAUGUUAUCAAAUGUAUACUUUUCUGUGAAGUAAAGGGAAAUCUCUUUGACUCUGCUUUCUUAUGUGACUUAUUCCGUCUCCUAAAAUCACAUCUACUUUAUUUUUGUACAGGAAAUGAGACCAAAAAUCCCUGUAUUCAAUCCCCUGCUUCUCCCAGCUUUAUGGGUGUGUGGAUAUAGGCUCGACUUCAGAUUUAAACCCUAUGAUUCAGGACCACCUCUAAGCUAUACGUAAAUCCAAUUUUAUGUGUGCAAGAAGGUCGGCAGUGAAUGUAAAGCAGAAGAGGAUAAAUCUGAGCUGUAGUUGACUCUGAGUAGGACUGGAGGAAAGAAGAAACAGGAGAGGAAGAUUUAUAAAAUUCUUAAAAAAAUAAGUAACAAUUAUUUUAAUGUCUAUUUUUGCCUAUAUGAGUCAUUUUAUGAUUCUGUAUUGAAAAGGAGUGGGUUUGCAAUGGUGACUGAAGGUACUAGGAUGCAUUAUGGCUUGAAGAAAUGCUUCAAACUCCCAUGUUCUGCCUUGGAAAAAGUACAUUUAAAAAUAGCCAAACCAUGCCAUAUUCUACUUAAUUCAUAUUUUGAGGCAAAAUACGGAGUCAAGAGAAUUGGAUCCUCUGAAAUUAGGGCACUGCAGAAGAAAUUGUUAGGGGAUGGGCUACAAUUUGCUGAUUCUUUGAACUUGAUUCUGCAGUGAGUGAGGGCAGUGAAAGCCUCUGAGUCAGAAUCUCGCUUUCCAGUUUGCCUUUCCCUUUAAUAGUUUGAAGUUCUCUAUGGCUGUGGGAAUGAUAUUGUCCACCGGUAGGUGACAAAUGGACUUACCCACUGGUAGGUGACGACUCACCAUUGCCUUCAAAAGACCCAGAAUUCCUCCUAGCCCUUAAAAUAUGCCAUUUUCUUAUGUCUGUCCUAAUAUAAAGGCAGUGUGGUCUGUGUACAUGUACUGAGGAUAGAUCUAUUUUAAAUUAGUGAAAAUCAUAAGGAAAGUUUGGAUUGGUUUUUACAUCUGAAUUGGCCAUGGGGAAACUCCACCUAGAAUAGGGACAAAAAAUUAUUUAGCUAUACAGAAAAUAUCAAGGCGGUUCAUAGAGACUUGCUACAUGGUAGUACUAUAUUUUAAUGUCAAUUAUUAUUUCCCCUUUUUAUUAUGUUGUGUCAAUAGUGGUUUUUUUUGUUGUUUUUUUUGUUUGUUUUUUGCCAUCUCUUACUCCAAAAAGUGCUUUCUUAGUUAUGUAAUCCAAUUAAGGGAGUGCAGAAUGUGAUUUAUUACUGGCAGUUGUAGCAAGGGGAGUCAUAUGCAUCAAAAAACUCCUACAACAACAGAAAUCUACCACUCUUUUCUUUUCUUGUUACAGUCAGAGAAAAUACAGAAGCUUCCUUUGCAUUCUUAAGAGAAAUUAGCUGUAUGUGAAGUGUUGCAUUAUAGCAGGUACAGCCUGAUCCCAGUUGUUACAUUUUUCAUUCAUAUAUGCCCCAGUGACUUCUUUUGGUGUGUGUUUUACACAUUCAAGAGAAUUCGUUUAUGAAUGAUAAACUGCAGUAAGCCUGGAAUUAGAUCCUACAUUACAUAAAUUAAUAUUUCACAUGUAAAAGGAGAGCCCCUAAAAAGAAUUGGACUCCCUGGAGUUCUAAUAUAGCUAAUAUUCCUGUAAUUGAUUUAAUUGCCCCCCACCCCCCUUUUUAAAGUAGUAGUUAAAAGGCAUUCUUGUUAAAUCAGUCAUCGUAAAUACACUAAUUUCUGGUGUGAGACAGAGCUCCUAGAAUAUGUCCUACAUGCUAGCUCCCAAAGGAUAAAGUAACACCAAAAAUCUGUAAAUCCAGUCAGGUGUGAAACUGGUGUAUCCAUGACUUAAUUUCAGUAUCUAUUAACAAUAGAGGCCUGAAUAAAGAUAUUAAGGUUUUCUGCUCAACAUGGAAACUGGAUAAUGUGAAUCAGAAAAUAACAAGUGCUUUUGAGUACUUCUCAGGGAACUGUGGACGAGGCAUCUGUCCUUCAGUGAAUGCUCUGGCUGGUCCUGGAAACUUUCCUUAUGUUCCAUCGAUUGAUCUGCUCCUGCAGACUUUUUUACUUGAAGUGCAAUCUGUUUUUUGCCAAAUGGGAUUAGGUAGGGGUUUUUAAUCUAGACACAUAGGCGCUUGAGAUAGGUUUUAAGCAGUAGAUUGUAAUUUUAGAGUGUGACAUUUUUCAGAUAAGUUCAGUGUAGCAGUCACGUUAACCUAACCUUGAUAAAUUUUGCAAAAUUUACAUAGCUGACCGCAGAUUUGUCAUGUGUAUGAUGGUAUGAGGCUUCUGUUAUGCUCCUGGAGAACUUUUAUGAGUACAAACCUAUCUAAUUUCUGAGCAUCCAUACAAACACACAACACAGCAACUGUUUCAUGGUACUAAAUAAACACCUUGUUCCAGUUUUCUUCAUAAAAUAUUUAUUUGUCCUCCAAAACCUUAAAUAAGAAAAUUUACACAACUUUAGUAUCUGUGCUAUAGAAUGUAUUGUGCACUUAUUCCCUUAAAAUGUUUAUAAAAAUACUAAUACAAAUGUGACAAACCAGAGUUCACCAUCCUACUGUGUUUUUCAUGUUCAAGUUUAAAAAAGCAACAAUGAAACAAACCUUAAAAGGUAUCAUGCCAGGUUUUUAAUUCCCUUUUCAAUUUUACUAAAUGAAAUUCUUGUUCGUGGGUUUGUGUAAAAUUAGAACCUCAUGGUUUGUCUCAACUUAUGAACAUUGCUUGACAUCCAAAGUUGGUUUUUUCCUCUAACCCUUAGCACUGUGUGUCAAUAUGGGUUUGCAGGUGCAUGUGUGUGCACAUCCAUGUACACAGAGACAUAUAAUUGUAUUUUCAUUGCAACUAUGUGUGUGGAAUCUGCACACAAUGAGCAGUGAACAUCUGCAUGAAAACAAAGGAGUGUGUUCAUUCUUAAUUAUUGAAUCUUGCUACUGUUUAUUAGAUAGGAGCAAACUGAAAUGAAGCAUCAGACUUUUCUGUAGUGACCUUGAGGUGGCAGCAGCAUUACAUUCAAUUCUACCAUACACCAAGUCCAUUUAAGGUGAAAGUAAAAAUUACAAUAAAUCAAAAUAAUACUGAUUGUUAUAAUUUUAUUACCAGAGCAUUAAGUCAAUAAAACUUAUCUGAAAUGUCAUUUGCAUUGUAUACAAUUUUUACUAGUUAUCAGGUAUGUUUUAAAAGCAUGUUUAAAGCAACCAAAUGAAGAAAUUGGUGAUAAAUUGUUGAAAAGCUGAGAUUUGUCUAAUGGUGUAGUAAAACUAAAGUCUGUUUUGAUCUCUUGUAUUGUAAAAGACUGUUUUUGAAGGCAUUUGUUAGUACAAUAAUGUCUUGUGUCUUGACUAACUAUAUUUAAUGUCCUAAUGUCUGAUUAAAUAUUUUUCUG